UGACGACACACGUCGCACUGAAAGUAGGGUUUGUCAGCCUGCCUUCGGUUUCGACUGUGCUGCACUUAGCUGGAGGCCGGUUUUGUAGCUAUGUGAAUAAUUGCUAGCGCUGUAAGACCCCCGAUGCUGGGCCUCUGCUCAAGUCCUGGGAUGAACUGGCCAACACCCCAACAUCUCGAGAGAAAAGAUGCACCUGAUGCAAACUGCAAGAGGUUUUAUUAUCAGCUAGCUGAGGAGAAGUCCCUCUGUCGUGCAGGGCAGAGGAGUUCAACCCCGAGCGGUGACAUUAGGGGACUUUUAACAGCUAGCUGAGGAGAGUGACCCAGUCUCUGUCUCCUAUCAUGAGAGCAAAUGAAGAAUUCAACUGAACUUGGCCACAAACUCAAAUUCAGUGCAGAUGAUGAAAGACCCACAACGUGAGGACUCCCCCACGUUCUGACUCAGGAGAGGCGACUCUCCAAAAUCACUGAGAAACGGUCUUGUUGCAAAUUGCAAGAGGAUUUUUAUUUAAGAGCGCUCUCGGGCCCACGGUCAUACACCACGCAGGGGUAGAGGACCGUGGCGCCCCGAGUAGCUGGAUUAGGGGUAUUUAAAGGAAGAAACCACAACUUAAGGAGGUGGGAAGGGCGUUGUUGGAAAAUACCAAAAAUACCAGUUAAGAGUCACAAGGAAGUGCAAAGUUACAAGAGUCACAAGGAAUACCUGGUAAGUGUUAACUCUCAAGACAGCUUCUAAGAGCCCCCAACAAUAGCACAUUUGCAUUGCAGGUUCUGGGUGACUUUCUUUGAAUGAGCACUCUUUGAACCCAGGAAGCGGGUGGGUGGAGGAAUGUCGCUGUUUUAUGAUUAGCAUACCUUUACAAAGGCCACAUUCCCAAGCCUGGGCCUAAAGGCCUAGAAUUCUGUUUUUACGUUGUUAUACUUUCAAUGACAGUACCAGCUGUGGGAACACUGUCAUUGGCAUGGUGCCAGCUAUCAUAAAAGGCAGCACGGAUGAGGGCUUCCCCUGGUAUAACGUGUUUCACUUGAUUAAGUUAUUUUUAACUCUGUGUUGAUUCUUUGUGAGUUUCACAUCCUGCACCAAAUGCACAUCAUCUCAACCUCCCCCGCUCUGAAAUUUAAACACAUACAAACAGACCAGCUAACCAACCAACCAACCAACCAACCAACCAAAACAAAGUAUAGAAAAACAACUCAUUGUGCAAGCCGUAGAGUGUCACAGUGUGGCCAGCAGUAUACCAUUCUGACCACGCAUCUUCACUUCCAAGUGUUGUUUGCAAUGAGCCAUUGGUUUGAGGUCUCUGGCUUCUGUGACCCAACCAAUAUUUGAUCCUCACAAGGAUUCCUCUUGGUUCUCCUGUAUUGAGCUGUGUCAUGGAGAUCCUGUAGUUUUAGAUCAUCAGGACUGUCCCUUUCACUUGGCCCAACAGUUAGCAAACGAUGUAGAUUUUGGGUGGGCCAACUCAAAGCCUUGGGUCUGGGCUUGGGUGGCAGCUGAGCUAGUUAGCCCACUGGCCUCUCCCUUAUCACACCAGCACUGCUCUGGUGAGGCCACCCAAUGCUGCCAUCUGCAGGAGGCAAGAUCAGCUCUUCUGUUUGUGCCCUCGGGUCUCUAACACCCACCGGUGCCUCCAGAGCCAGCUCCGCUGUGCUGCUCAGUCAAGGUACAAGGCCCACUCUCCCAAGUGCUGCAGCCUGUGAGGGGCUGGGCCAGCUCUCCUGUUCUCACAUCCUGGAGGCCAGCUUAGCUGUGCCUUCACCAUCAGGACCACUGCAUUGUCCAGGGGAAGCACAGGGCCCAUUCUGAGUGCUGCAGCCAGUGAGAGGCAGGGCCAGCUCUCCCAUUCUGUCUUAUAGGGCCAGCUCUCCUGACUAACACAGUGGAGAGGGGCAAAGUGGGGGAGGGCAUCACCUUCUCAUCCUAUAUACUUCAAGGUAGAUGAGUGUGUGUGUAUGGGGAGGUGAGCUCUCUCCCUCCUCCCUCCCCCUCCCCCUCCCUUGGAACUAGCUUCCUCUACCAAGUCCAGCUCUACUGGGCUGCCCAGGAGACGUGCAGUGCCCACUCUCCCAAGUGCUGCAGCUGGUGAGUGGCAGUCAGGGUCAGGUCUCCCAGUCUCACGACCAUGUGGCCAGCUCUCCUCACUUCUACAUGUACUAAGGAGUGAGUGGGGGUGGGGCAUCACCUCUGUACCUCUGCCACCUUACCCCAGACAGUGGCAUGGCCAGCACCCCCAUGCAAUCACCCUCAGGAUUGACUAAGCGCCUAUAGUGGCUAUUCCUGGUUGUCAACUUGACUAUAUUUGGAAUGAACUACAAUCCAGAAUUGGAAGGCCCACCAGUGACCCUUAUCUGGAGGCUUGGAGAUAGAAGUUUCUGAUCUGGAUCUUGGUAUGGAGAUCUUGAAGCAUAGUGGCUAUGGAUUCCAGAAGAUUAAAUCUCCGAGUUCAAGAUCAUCUGGGAUUAAAGGUGUGGUGGAACACACCUUUAAUCUGGGCUACACCUUCUGCUGGAGACAAUAUAAGGACAUUGGAAGAAGGGAGUCUCGCUCUUGCUCCCUCGCCUACUUGCCUUGUGGGACUGAGUAACUGCUAUAUCCUUGGACUUCCAUUCACAGCUACUACUGAACCAUUGUUGGGAAUUGGACUGCAGACUGUAAGUCAUCAAUACAUUCCUUUACUAUAUAGAGACUAUUCAUAAGUUCUGUGACGCUAGAGAACCCUAACUAAUACAGCGCCCCCACCACCAGGGCCAGCUCUGCUUGGCUGUCCAGGGAAGUACAGGGCCCACUCUACCAAGCACUGCGGCUGGUGAGAGAUGGGGCUAACUCUCCAGAGCAACAUAGGCAGUGAGAGGUAGGGCCAGCUCUGUUCCCUCCCUGGACAUCCAUGUGAGCCCUGGUGGCUACCCAGACCAGGGAUAUCCCUGUGCUCUCGAGUGGAAAUAUGUGCCACAUAUGUAUGACAUUGACACUGAUUCCUACUGCUACAUAGUCAUGGACUCAGACAUGGGCCCUCAGCCACAGCACCCGUUAGGACUUCACCAUGGCCUUAGGUGGGAGGGCUGGUCACUCACAGCAGGCUAUUACUCUCCAUCCUCCUGUCUCCAGUUCCUUCUUCCUUCACAAUGCUCAAUCUGUUCCACUUCUCCUUCUCUUCCAUCUGUCUACAUCCUUGUACAUUGUAGUGGCUCCCAUUGCAGGAGGGCCAUAUGGCUGGCCGGGGUUGGGGAGGGGCUCUGUCUGAGUGGCCUCUGUCUUCAGUGCAUGGUAGCUAACAGGCCUCUAGGUAUUUACAGCUCACCUGUGUGGGAUGGCUGCAGGUGAAUCUGUGGGCAUCCCUCCCCUCUCCCCCCUCGCACCAUACUGCAUCGCAUGGUUUUAGACAAGGCUGUGUGUCUACAGCCUGCCAUUUCCAUGCUGGGGUUGGAAGCAGGAGUGUAGGAGUCUUUCCUGUCCUGUGCAGGGCCUGGUGCUCAGCGGGUCUCUGUCUGUUUUUCUCCUCCUGCACUGAGCUUCACGGUGGUGAGGGGGGCUCUGUGUCUAUAUAACACAUUUUAAACGUGAGAACCUGCAGCUUCGUCUCCUUCCCCACGGCCGACCCCUCACGCAUCCUGCUCGUGUUCACGCCUCUCACCUUUGCUGACAGCACAGACCUUGGCAGUGUCACUGUAUUAACCAGGGUUCUGGCGGCUCACACACACGUUUGUCCUUGUUAUUCAGAGACAUGGGGACCUAAGGUGGUGGUGUCACAACUAAGGGAUGUCUUGAGUAUGAGAUUUAGCUUUGCCUGCUCCCACAUGGCCCAGGUGGUAGACAAGAGUGGGCAGGGAAGCAGCAUUGGUGAAUAUUUGGACUGCCCUCUUGCUGCUCAGGCAUCCAGUCACAGGCUUAUCCCAGCACUGGGAAGGAAGAGACAGACUGAUCCUUGGUGCUUGAUGGCCAUCAAAAAUCAAAACAAGGGUGAAUUUCAACACAAAUGAAAGCCCCCCCCCAAAAAAAAAAAAAAAAAACUAAGGUAGACCACAACUGGAGAUGGCCACCUAAAGCUGAUGGUUAUGCCCUACACUCAUAUGCACACACAUGCACCCACACCCAUAUAUACGAACACACAUAAAAGUGCAGUGGGGACGGUACUGGGAAUAUUAUACUUCACUUUCCCUGAAGACACCUGUAUGGUAAGUCGGUAAGGGCGCAGUGACUCCAUGACACAGGGGUAUUCAGGGAGUAUGGAAUCUUUGCUG